rnacentral:rRNA from 1 species
CCUACGGGAGGCUGCAGUGGGGAAUAUUGCACAAUGGGGGAAACCCUGAUGCAGCGACGCCGCGUGAGUGAAGAAGGAAUUCGUUAUGUAAAGCUCUAUCAGCAGGGAAGAAAAUGACGGUACCUGUGAAAGAAGCCCUGGCUAACUACGGGCCAGCAGCCGCGGUAAUACGUAGGGGGCAAGCGUUAUCCGGAUGUACGGGGUGAAAAGGGAGCGUAGACGGCAGUGCAAGGCUGGUGUGAAAGGCGGGGGCUCAACCCCGGGACGGCUCUGGAAACUGGACGGCUGGAGUGCAGUAGAGGUGGGUAGAAUUCCAGGUGUAGCGGUGAAAUGCGUAGAUAUUAGGAGGAAUACUGGUGGCGAAGGCGGCCAACGGGACUAAAACUGACGCUGAGGUGCGAAAGCGUGGGGAGCAAACAGGAUUAGAUACCCCUGUAGUC